UACGUAGGGUGCAAGCGUUAAUCGGAAUUACUGGGCGUAAAGCGUGCGCAGGCGGUUUUGUAAGUCUGUUGUGAAAUCCCCGGGCUCAACCUGGGAAUGGCAAUGGAGACUGCAAGGCUAGAGUUUGGCAGAGGGGGGUAGAAUUCCACGUGUAGCAGUGGAAAUGCGUAGAUAUGUGGAGGAACACCAAUGGCGAAGGCAGCCCCUGGGUCAAAACUGACGC
rnacentral:rRNA from 1 species